CAUUGAUGCUGUACCGGUACAACCAGCAGCAGCAGCAGCUGCUGCAUGGCAGCUGGGCCAUUUUGGUCUUUUUUCAUUUCAUCUCUAUCCUUAUCCUCCAAGCACGACCCCAACAGCUAAACAAAGGAUACUGGAGUCCAAGGAUAAGGGCUACACCUCUCUAACUUUCUCUCUCUAGAUUUCUCUCUCUUGAUGCAAGGAAUGGUGGAAUUAAGCUUAAUUUCCUCUCCUACUUGAUGCUAGCUGGUUCGGAGCCUUGAAGGAUAGCUCUUGGAACUGAGGGGAUAGUGUUUGGCCGAAUUUUUGUAACUCUAACUCAGGGAGGAGCUGAAUUAUACUACUGAAUUGAGAGAGGAAUGAGCAGCUGUAGAAGCAAGGUGUUAUGAUGGUUUUUCCACUCUAGCUCCAGGGAAGAACUAAAUUUUGAGUGGAAGAAGCAGAAGCUUGGAGAUCUCUUUGAGCUAAUUAUAGUGAUAGCUGUGGGCUAAUUUAGAGUGCUCCAACUUCAGAAAAAAAAGGGCGGAGUAGCCCUGGUUUAAACCGAGGUUUGCGACAGAUCAUUGGACUAUUCUCAGCUGAUUUCUGGGAGCUUGCGAAGGUUGAACUUAGUGUCUUAACCUAAACCGAAGCAGGGGUUAAAGCUGUAACCUUGUACAAGGACUCAUUUGAGCUGGAUUGAGUUGAGUAUUGGGUGCUUCUACUUGAAUUGAAGA